rnacentral:rRNA from 1 species
CCUACGGGUGGCAGCAGUGGGGAAUAUUGCACAAUGGGGGAAACCCUGAUGCAGCGACGCCGCGUGAGUGAAGAAGUAUCUCGGUACGUAAAGCUCUAUCAGCAGGGAAGAAAAUGACGGUACCUGACUAAGAAGCCCCGGCUAACUACGUGCCAGCAGCCGCGGUAAUACGUAGGGGGCAAGCGUUAUCCGGAUUUACUGGGUGUAAAGGGAGCGUAGACGGCAGCACAAGUCUGGAGUGAAAUCCCGGGGCUUAACCCCGGAACUGCAGUUGAAACUGUGCGGCUGGAGUGCAGGAGGGGUAAGCGGAAUUCCUAGUGUAGCGGUGAAAUGCGUAGAUAUUAGGAGGAACACCGGUUGCGAAGGCGGCUCACUGGACUGUAACUGACGUUGAGGCUCGAAAGCGUGGGGAGCAAACAGGAUUAGAUACCCCUGUAGUC